AUAUUGCACAAUGGGCGCAAGCCUGAUGCAGCAACGCCGCGUGAGGGAUGACGGCCUUCGGGUUGUAAAACUCUUUUAGUAGGGAAGAAGCGAAAGUGACGGUACCUGCAGAAAAAGCACCGGCUAACUAAGUACCAGCAGCCGCGGCAAUACGUAGGGUGCAAGCUUUGUCCGGAAUUAUUGGGCGUAAAGAGCUCGUAGGCGGCUUGUGGCGUCUGCUGUGAGAACCAGAGGCUCAACCUCUGGCCUGCAGUGGGUACGGGCAAGCUAGAGUGCUGUAGGGGAGAUUGGAAUUCCUGGUUUAGCGGUGGAAUGCGCAGAUAUCAGGAGGAACACCGAUGGCGAAGGCAGAUCUCUGGGCCGUAACUGACGCUGAGGAGCGAAAGCAUGGGGAGCGAACA
rnacentral:rRNA from 1 species